GGAGAAAGAAGAAGAAAAUCAAGGCUGAGGCGCUUCCAUAACGCUUCCAUGAUGUUUCCAUGAUCAAAUCCACGAACGUUCUUCGCCGUUCUUCGUCCGUUUUUCAUCGUUCAUCGUUCUUCGACCUGUUAGUUUUUGAUUUCGAAGCUUUGAAUUCAUUCUCUGCACCUUUAGGGGUCCAUUCUUGCUUUGUAUGUUUUCAUCUUCCUUCUUCAAC
rnacentral:lncRNA from 1 species